rnacentral:lncRNA from 1 species
CUCAAUGGAUAUCCAGAAACUGGGUCUCGCAUAAUCACAGAACAAAGCAUUCACAAGACUGUGCAAAGCUUUCUUCAACAGCAGCCCCUCUGGCUACAAGAGGCAACUGCAGCAGUGAACUAAUCAGACCCCUGUCCUUAGCCACUUGUAGGUUAACCAUGGGCAGACAUUCCCCUUGGAACUAAGAACACCUGUAUGGUUCACAGAUCAUUUAAGGGGGCACACAGAACUCCACAAGAAAAGUGAUGAACAUUCUACUAAUAAGGCAGGUGGUUGCUGAAGCAAUUCGUAGGGAAAAUGAAAGCAUUCUGCCUCAUUCAGGCCCCAAGUUUGUGGAGAUGUUCUUGCUGCCAACACAAGGAAUAAAUGAGAGUCUGGAUCUAGGUUCCUAAGAACCAUUCCUGGUAUAUAGGAAUAUAGUAAUAUUUGGCCUUUUACAAUUCCAAUCAACAGCACUUUUUCCCCUUUUAAAUUUUUUUUUAAUUUUUUGAGACAAGAUCUUGCUCUGUCACCCAGGCUGGAGUACAGUGGUAUGAUCUCAGCUCACUGCAACCUCCACCUCCUUGGUUCAAGUGGCUUUUUUACCUCAGUCUCCUGAGUAGCUAGGACUACAGGUACACACCACCUCACUUGGCUAAUUUUUUUUUUGUAUUACUAGAGAUGGGGUUUCACUGUGUAGGCUAGGCUAGUCUCGAACUCCUGACCUCAAGUGAUCCAUCCGCCUUGGCCUCCCAAAGUGCUGGUAUUACAGGCAUAAGCCACCACAUCCAGCCAUUUUUUCAGUUUUUAUUGUUGUUGUCACUUGCCAGAGACCAUGAUCGUCUCUUACUCAAACACCACUGUAUUUAAUGUAAUCCCAUCUGAAAUUCUGUGAGGUAGAUAGCAUUAUCAUUCAUCCCCAAAUUAUCGAUUUUUUUUAAUGGAGGUUCAGAAAGGGAAGAUGAUAUGCCCAAAGUCACACCAUGGUAGAACCAGGACUGGAACUCAGAUUUCCCGCUCCCCAACUAGUGCUUCCAUUAACUAAGGGCUUUGUGUUCUCAAACACAAUGGGCAAAGGGAGACAGAAAACUUGUGUUUCUUGAACAUCUGUGAUGGCAGGCACCACGCUGGGCACGUUUACAUAUAUCAGCUCAUUUACUCUUCUCCACAGUCCCAUGAGGCCUCUGUGGUAUCAUUUCCCCCGUUUUAGUCAAAUGGAGGCACAAAGAGAGAGGCGGGACCUUUCCCUGAAUCACUGUACAGCAGGAGUCUACCAAAGUGGUCCACAAAACAUUCUCCUUUCCUUCUGAAGGUUUUAUGAUGCAUUGUUAUCAUUAACCAGUCUUUUACUAUUAAACUUAAACAGGCAAUUGAAACAAACAGUUCUGAGACUGUUCUUCCACCAAUUAAGACCAGGGUAGCAGGUAUUAGGGAUAAUAUUCAUUUAGCCUUCUGAGCUUUCUGGGCAGACUCGGUGACCUUGCCAGCUUCAGCAGCCUUCUUGUCCACUGAUUUGAUGACACCCACGGCAACUGUC